UACGGGAGGCAGCAGUGGGGAAUAUUGCACAAUGGGCGCAAGCCUGAUGCAGCCAUGCCGCGUGUAUGAAGAAGGCCUUCGGGUUGUAAAGUACUUUCAGUCGUGAGGAAGGUGUUAAGGUUAAUAACCUUAGCAAUUGACGUUAGCGACAGAAGAAGCACCGGCUAACUCCGUGCCAGCAGCCGCGGUAAUACGGAGGGUGCGAGCGUUAAUCGGAAUUACUGGGCGUAAAGGGCACGCAGGCGGUUAAUUAAGUUGGAUGUGAAUCCCCGGGCUUAACCUGGGAAUGGCAUUCAAGACUGGUUAGCUAGAGUCUUGUAGAGGGGGUAGAAUUCCAUGUGUAGCGGUGAAAUGCGUAGAGAUGUGGAGGAAUACCGGUGGCGAAGGCGGCCCCUGGGACAAAGACUGACGCUCAUGUGCGAAAGCGUGGGGAGCAAACAGGAUUAGAUACC
rnacentral:rRNA from 1 species